ACAACAAAAUUAAGGAACAUUAAUUAUUAUCAAUUAAGAUAUGGAAACAAUAUCAGCAGCUAUCACAAAAAACAGUGCCAAUGAAUCAUUCUGUUUGAUUCAUGCUAAGAAUAAUAACAUGAAAGUGAAUGAAGCUGAUCCUUUGAAUUGGGGUGUGGCAGCUGAAGCAAUGAAAGGCAGUCACUUGGAUGAAGUGAAACGUAUGGUGGAGGAGUACCGGAAGCCGGUGGUCCGUCUUGGUGGCGAAACACUGACCAUUUCUCAGGUGGCUGCCAUUGCUGCACAUGACCAUGGUGUGCAGGUGGAGCUGUCAGAAUCUGCUAGGGCUGGUGUUGAGGCCAGCAGUGAUUGGGUGAUGGAGAGUAUGAACAAAGGAACAGACAGUUACGGUGUCACCACCGGAUUCGGCGCCACCUCACACCGCCGUACCAAACAAGGUGGUGCUUUGCAGAAAGAACUCAUCAGGUAUUAUUCUUCAUUUGCACAUAUAUUUUUUUUUUUAAUGAAACAUACGUUUCAUAUAUACGUUUUUUCUUUCUUAAUUUGCAUAUCUCAAUCUGCAACUUUUAAGUUUAAAUUAUUCCUUUGAUUUAAACUUUUAAUUAUUAACAAUCACUUAAAAGUUAAUCCUGCAUUUCAUAUAUAAAAUCAAUAAAUUCAAUAUAUCUCAUAUAUUUUUUUCUUCAAAAUUUUAUCCUUAUUUUGCUGGAUUGCUAUGAUCUACUAUCAUUUGUAACCUUCCGUAAAAAAAUUAAAAAAAAACUAUUUGCAACGUUUUUGGUACAUCUAUUUGUAACUUUUAAUUGGUCAAUAAAUAAUAAAAAAAAUGUAACUUGUCAACGUCCUGCUUUAAAAUAAAAACAAGUGGUAGGGUAUUCUAAAUUUCUAACCACUUACUAUUAAUUCAUAUAUGUACUUGCGUUUUAAAUUUAGGAGAAUGUUAUGAUUUUAUUUUUUUUAAGAUUUAUUUAAAUGUGCAACUUGUUAGGUUACUUCUUUUAAAAAAUAUGAAAGUUUAACAAGUAACAUUUUUUAGGGGUAGCAAGAAUACAGAAGAAAAUAAAUGGUUCUGAUGCUUAUUCUGCUUGUUUUUCAGAUUUUUGAAUGCUGGAAUAUUUGGAAAAGGAAGUGAGUCAAGCCACACACUUCCACACACAGCAACAAGAGCUGCCAUGCUAGUGAGAAUCAACACACUCCUCCAAGGUUAUUCAGGAAUCAGAUUUGAAAUCUUGGAAGCCAUCACCAAUCUCCUUAACAACAACGUCACUCCAUGUUUACCACUUCGCGGUACAAUCACAGCUUCAGGAGAUUUGGUCCCUCUAUCUUACAUUGCUGGUUUACUAACUGGAAGACCAAAUUCCAAAGCUCAUGGACCAUCUGGAGAAAUACUUAAUGCAAAAGAAGCUUUUAAAUUGGCUGGAAUCAAUGCUGAAUUCUUAGAAUUACAACCAAAAGAAGGCCUUGCACUUGUUAACGGAACAGCUGUUGGUUCCGGUUUAGCUUCAAUUGUUCUCUUCGAGGCUAACAUUUUGGCUGUGUUGUCUGAAGUUCUAUCAGCUAUUUUUGCUGAAGUUAUGCAAGGGAAACCUGAGUUUACCGAUCAUUUGACACACAAGUUGAAACACCACCCUGGUCAAAUUGAGGCUGCUGCUAUUAUGGAACACAUUUUGGAUGGAAGUGCUUAUGUCAAAGCAGAUAAAAAGUUGCAUGAGAUGGAUCCAUUGCAGAAACCAAAACAAGAUAGAUAUGCGCUUAGAACUUCACCACAAUGGCUUGGUCCUUUGGUUGAAGUGAUUAGAUUCUCUACCAAGUCAAUUGAGAGAGAGAUCAACUCUGUCAACGACAACCCCUUGAUUGAUGUUUCAAGAAACAAAGCUUUGCAUGGUGGAAACUUUCAAGGAACGCCUAUUGGAGUAUCCAUGGAUAAUACACGUUUGGCUCUCGCAUCAAUUGGCAAACUUAUGUUUGCUCAAUUCUCUGAGCUUGUCAAUGAUUUUUACAACAAUGGAUUGCCUUCAAAUCUUUCUGCGAGUAGAAAUCCUAGUUUGGAUUAUGGUUUCAAGGGAGCUGAAAUUGCCAUGGCUUCCUAUUGUUCUGAGUUGCAAUAUCUUGCAAAUCCGGUUACAACCCACGUCCAAAGUGCCGAGCAGCACAACCAAGAUGUGAACUCUUUGGGUUUGAUUUCUUCGAGAAAAACAUAUGAAGCCAUUGAGAUCCUUCAACUCAUGUCUUCCACAUUCUUGAUUGCUCUUUGCCAAGCAAUUGAUUUAAGACAUUUGGAGGAGAACUUGAAAAACUCAGUCAAGAACACCGUAAGUCAAGUCGCCAAAAAGACCCUUACCAUAGGCGUGAAUGGAGAACUUCAUCCUUCAAGAUUUUGUGAAAAAGACUUAUUGAAAGUGGUUGAUAGAGAGCAUGUAUUUGCUUAUAUUGAUGAUCCUUGUAGUGCUACAUACCCAUUGAGUCAAAAACUCAGGCAAGUGUUGGUAGAUCAUGCAUUAGUUAAUGGAGAGAGUGAGAAGAAUUUGAACACUUCAAUCUUUCAAAAGAUUGCAACUUUUGAGGAAGAGUUGAAGAGCCUCUUGCCAAAAGAGGUUGAAAGUGCAAGGACCGCAUAUGAGAGUGGAAACCCAACAAUUCCAAACAAGAUCAAUGGAUGCAGAUCUUAUCCACUUUACAAGUUUGUUAGAGAGGAGUUGGGAACUGGUUUACUAACUGGAGAAAAUGUCAUUUCACCCGGUGAAGUGUGUGACAAAUUAUUCACAGCUAUGUGUCAGGGAAAAAUCAUUGAUCCUCUUCUUGAAUGCUUGGGAGAGUGGAACGGUGCUCCUCUUCCAAUUUGUUAACUUUGUUGGUUAAUUAUGAAAAUGCUUUAUUUGUUGUAUUUUAUACAAGUGUAUCAAAAAUCAUGUAGGUUUUUCAAGCCUUUAACAAAUUAAUAUGGAAAGCUCAAAGCUCCAGUUCAGUUUCCUCUAAUAUCACGGUGAAACUUGUAAUUUAUUUAAUAAUAGAUUUUUAUUUGUUUGCCGGAAUUUUUAGUGCAAUUGUGCAACUAUAUAAAUAAAAUAGCUUUUCUCCAAACAAAAAUAGCUUUAAUGUUAAUCAUACUUUAUGAGAGUUAACUUAAAAUCAGAAUUCUGAAGAAUCGUGCCACGAUGAAGAAGCUUCGUGCCACGAUUGUUGAAGCAAAAUUCUGGAGCAAUCACUGGAAAAAUCGUGUCACGAUUGGAUCGAAUCGUGCCACGAUGGUGCGAUUGAAGAUAAAAAUAAAACAUAUUUUUAUUGAAGAUUUGUUUCAGUUUUUUAAGGGAUUACUUUCACUAUAAAUAUAAACCUUGUUUCAUAGCAAACUUUGAGAGGGACAGAGGGGGCUGAAACAAGGGUUUAGAAAGGCAACAACAAAACUAGGGUUUGUAUAGAGUUUGUCUCUUAGAAACAAACACUAGGGUUUGUGGGUUGAUUUACUUUGGAAAACACUAUUAGGAUUGAGUCUCUUAGUUACGGGAAGAGGCUGGGACUUUGGGUAGAAUUAGGCGGGAGACUUAUUCUUGUAACCUAUUGAUUUCUCUUUUGUAACGUUACUCAUCAUAUAGUGGAUCGAAGGGCUGCUCUCUCCCCCAGACUAGGUCAAUUUGGACCGAACUGGGUCAACAAAUUCUUUUGUGUUCUUCUUUUCUUUGUGUUCUUCUCGCCGUUUUUUUUUCUAUUUUUGGCUUGUAUUUAAUUGUUUCAUACACUUUGUUUUGGUUGCUUGAUUAUCCCUUGCUCCACACAUCAAGUUGUUAUUGAUGUGAUUCUCAUCGAAUUCACAACAUACUUUCUUAAAAGUCAUUUUAGUCUCCAAGUAUAUAGUUAGUAGUUAAUUAACCAUUCUAAUACCCUAAUACACAUGUUCCCUUUGAGAACAAGCCACACAAAAAAAAAAAAAACGGGUCACAACAAAUAAGGAAGAGAAACUCGUUUGUACUUGAGCGAGAGUGUUGGAAAUUAGGAAGUCCCAUAAACUAUCGGGGACUUCUAUCGUAUAUUCACAAUUUUGAGUGUACCGGUACUCUUGUUUUACAAAAUAUAUAAAUUAACGAUCACUUUAAUGAAAUAAAAAGGUAUUUGUCAAUAUUUAUAUUUUAGAAAACAUCAUUUCAUAAGAAAAAUCACCAUUUCAUUGUUUAUAAGGAUCAUACUAAAAAAUUUACAUUUUGUCAUAAAAAUUAAUCAAAAUUCAUUGUUAUGAGUAAUAAAAGUUCUUAAAAAUUAAAUUUUAUUUCGUCGAAGCUUUUGGUAAAUAAAAUUUAAUUAUCUUAGUUGUCAAUGAUAGAAAAUAAUUAUUUUUCUUCAAAAAAACAACUCAUUUAUUAUUAAUUUUACGAAUUAGUGUAACAAUACACCCAAAUUUAUUGGAUGUACCAUAGAAUUUGCCUAAACUAUUUUUCUUUUACCGGACCACUCAUCAACCCUAUUACACUACUAAAUUUACUCUUUAGAUGAUCUAAAAUGUAAAUAACUUAUUCUAGUUAGGAACUAGUCAUUACAACAAUUAGCUAGUAUUGUGAAUUGAUUCACAAAUUGCUUCAAUCAUUAAUAAAUGGAAGCAUUUUAGAAGCCUAUUAGACAUUGGUAAAUCCAUAUUUUAUUAAUUAAAGAAACAAUUAUAAUACAAUUAAUAUAUCAUUUAAAUUAAAAAAUAUAUAUUUUAAGUAUUAGAACUCCUAAAAAGUGUUAGAUAAAUCACGCGCAAUUUAUUUUCUUUCAUUAUCAUGAAUUAAACAAGACUCUUGAGUCAUGUAUUUCAAUCACAAACUACAACAUCAACUACAUGCAUGAAUCAUUAAUAUAUCUUAUAAAUAAUAUACAUUUUCCUCUUGUUUCAUGUAUUAAAUAUGACUCUUUGAGAUCUACCAAUAUAAAAGACGACUCUUUGAGUCAUAGUCGUUCUUAAGAUUUUUCAUACACUAGGCAAACUAAAUGAAUAAUGUCUUCGUAAUCAUGUCAUUAGAGAUGUUUCCUUCGUAUUAUUUGUUGCAAUAUAAUCAACGGUAUUCUUUUUUUUUUUUUUUAGGGAAAUCAACAAUAUACUUAUAAGUAAUGUUCUUUAAGAAAAAAGUAUUUUGCUAAAAAUCAAAGCAAAACUCUUUUAUCUAAUCAGUUAAAAAAUAAAUCUCAUAAAAUUUUAAAAAUUUCAAUUUAAAAAAAUGUGAUUCAACAGACGCAAUGCUAACUAGGUUUGAUCAUACAAACAUUAGGAAAAUAAUAAAAUUUCUUUAAUGAUAUCAAUAUCGUAAAAUUUGAUUUGAAUACUAUCUUCUUUCUUUAGGUUAGCAACGCCAUCACUUAGAAAUUUUGAAUCCAUCACCUACUAACUGAAAUGGAUUUUUUUUAAAUUCUUUGAACAUCAUAUGCAAAGUACCAAAAUGUCAAAUAAACUACGGUUAUCUCAUCUACUACCAAAUUUUCUUCUAGGGUGUUCAUCCUUAUGAAUAAAAAAAUUAACUAUAUUAUAUAUAUCUAAAUCACUAAUAUUAGCACCAUCUCAAACGGAUAGAACAAAAAAUACACCAUAUACCACGGUUACAAAAUAUUCUAAACGUGAUUUGACAUCAUUAAACUACUUCCAUUUUCUCUUUCCAAAAUAACCCCUCCAAACUCCCAUCAUAUAGGGGUGGACAAUGAUCGGGUUCGGUCAGAAAUCGGUCUUAAAAUCCGAAACCAACUCACCCGACGGUUGGAAUAUUAUAGUCUGUUUCCGCCCAUACGAGUACCUCGGUUUUAGCGGUGUCGGUUUGACGGUUUUCACGGACGAUCGGGUGGAUUGUAUCGGUUUUGCAUUAAACAAAAUUUGAUAGAAAAAAAAAAUCUUCACAGUUCACACAUCAAGAAUUUUCAGAUCUAGACUAAGAAUGAAAAGAAAAAACAAAAUAAAAAUUAAAGAAAGAUGAAGAAACGUGAUUCAGAUUGCAGCCUUGCAACAUCCUCUCUUCCAUUGUCUGUAUUCACGGUAAUAAAGAGAAGGAAUUUUUAUGGAAAAUAAAUUCAAUUUGUGUGGUGUGAGGUGAAUGUUGAAUGAUGUGGAAAACAUAAUCAAUUUGUGAUGGUUAGGGAUAAUGAUUUUUCUGGAAAAAGAAACAUAUUGAUUGAAAUUUGGGUUUUCAAUUUUCAAUUUUUGAGAUGUACAUGAUGUUAAGUUUCAGAAUGAAAUGGAGAGAGGAAGAGAAAAGAUUGAGAAUAGAAAGCUGAUAUGGGUAGAGAGAGGUGGAAGCCAAGGAUGAUGUUUCUAGAGAGAGAGAGGAUUGUUGAGAAAUGGGAAAAAUGGCUUUUAUAUCGAGCCUAUACGGUCAAACACUAGGUAAAUAAAUAAAUAAAUAUAUUGUAUCGGUUGGAUGUGGGUAUCCAUGGGUGGAUUUCUCCCAUCCGAAACCGCCCGUAAUUACUCAUUCAUAACCGUCUUUGCCAAUCCGAUUGAACCGUAUAACCCGAAAUAACCCACCCGCUUGCAUGCGGGCCUUAUGGGUCGGCCGGUUUGGGCCGGUUGCACAAAUCUUGUCCAGCCCUACAUCAUACCCCAACCAAACCCUUUACAACCAUAAUGAGAGUCUUCCAAAUAAAAUGAUACUCGAUUUAAAAGAAAUAAUAUCCCUGUCAACCAAUCAAUUAUGUUGCUCUUUGGAAACUUAUUCAGUUCCAAAUCACCAAAAUUCCACACUUGUACUCUAUUAUUCUCACGCAUUGUCAGCGAUAUACCCAACUGUACAAAUGGUGUUACUGUCAUUUUGCUCUUAAAAACUACAUCCCAUCUCAACAACUUCUAAUUUGCCAAAAAGCUUAAAAUCUGAUAUUUUUAUAUUUGAGCAACCAUUUGAUAACAACUUCUAUGACAACCUCCUUUUUUCCUCUUCUUAUUGGUCAAAGACAAUGCAGAGAGAAAAAGGAAUAGAGAGUAAGAAUAUAAUGUAAGUAUGAGAGAGAAAGUUGUCUGAAAGUUGUCAAAAAAAUAGUUAUACAAAUAUCAUUUCUCUUUUUAUAUUGACGGAUUCCACAAAACAACACGAUUAACUAAACAAACUAUUUUGUACCAAAAAAAAACUAAACAAACUAUUCCAUUACAACAUCAAAUUAACCUAUAAUAGGUCUUUAUCUGCAGUCAAUUAUUGUCAUUCAUGCCAAAGAUUUUUAAAAAAUUCACAUAUUAGAAUUUUAAAGUAUCUUAUAUAUUAUAGAAACAAUUUGUUAUAUAUUUGCUGAAUCUAAAAGGUGUUAGUAUAUUCGAAUAAUAAAUUGAAUGAUAUAUUGGAGUAUUGAUGACAUAAUGACAAUGUAGCUAAGUUAGAGUAUUCAUGAUAAAUUGAAUAAUUGAGUUUUUUUGUCGAAAUAACAAGUAUCAAGCAACCACUAUAUUAUUAAUAUUGAAAUCGUAUUACUUAUUUAAAAAUAAUAUUGAGAUCACAUCAUAGAAAUCCAACAAAUUAUUUCGAUGGUAAAUAGUGAUGAAAAAGUCACUGCCCAUCCCAUCUGAAGGAAGGCGCCAAUCACUGUGCCUUGGAGGAAGUCACUGUCCCAUUGGUGGAAGGGCCUUCAGGGCCAGUGCCUUUGGUCGAUUCGUCGAAUAUAGUGCUGACUUCAGUCGUCAUCAGAUUUUGGGGUCUACGAUAGUGAUCAAGAUCAAGAAUGGUCAAGAAGAUAUGAAGCAAGAAAGAAAGAUAGAUGUAAUUGCAAGAAAGAUAUAAACGAUAUAAUGACGUUUUUAUCUAAAAAUAUUAGGUUUAUUGAUCUCUUGCUAUUGUUUUAACAUUUGCUUGUUGACUCAAUCUGAUACUUUUAUCUAACACUACACAAAUAUAUGACACGUCACAUGAAAGGUAACCAUUGAAUUCAACUUGCGGUAAAAAAAAAUAUAUUGUAUGUAAUGAACAUAAGCAGGAAAAACUUUUAUAUUUAAUCAAAAUAUGUAUUUAUGGCUAGUAACUGUAACAACAAUGUUCAAAACUUCAUAUUGGAUAAAGAGUUUAUAACUAAAGACAUUUUACAAUGAAGUAAGUUGAGUUCCCAAAAACGGAUCACAACGAAGACACGAGCAAAAAAACGAAAAACAAAAUGGAAGAGAUUGAUCCCACUGAAUCAAGUCCCUAAAAAAGCGUAAGGAUAGACGCAAAUCAACUUUUCAUGGCCAAGUGUUUGGCGAUUGGGACGUGUCUCUUUCAAAAUGGUGUGUCUUUCGACAUGUAACUAACAUGGCACAAGUUGUAACAAAAAAAAAAAAAAAAAAACUAACAUGUCACACGCUUCAACUUUUGUUGUAUAUUGCACCUUAGUAGGGUCAUGACUCAUGAGUACCCACGCUUCAACAUAUCAUGAGUUGUAACACACAUUUCUCAUGCGUCUUUCAAAACACACAUUUCUCAUGUCAGCAACGUGUAUUUUGGGAGUAAUCCUCUUUAUUUAGAAUUUUUUACAUUUUUCCAUUCAAAGAUACCAAAAACACAAUAAAAGUUAAAAUAAUUAAUGAUUGUAGGAUUUUUUAAUGAUAGGAUUUACCAUUUAUUUUUUAUAUAUAUAUCUUUCUCAUAAUGACAAUCUUCAUUUAUUUUUAUAAAUGGAGAGGCUCAUUACUUGUGUUUUGGUGUGAUAGUAAUUUUAGAUUCUUUUUAGUUAAUUAAAGGCUAAAUUACAUCAAGGGUUCUUUAAGUUUGAGAUUUGUAGUAGAUUGAUCAUUUAAGUUAUUUUGCUCACAAAUAAGUUUUUAAGUUUGAGGUAUGUACCAGAUUGUCAUUUAAGUUAUUUUGGUCGCACAUAAGUCAUUUAAGUUUGUAAACGCUUUCGAUUUAGUCCUUCUGUCACAUCAUCGUUUUUGUAAUGUUUGGUUAAUUACAUAAUGACUAAAUAGAAAAUGUUUACAAACUUAAAUGAUUUAUGUGUGACCAAAAUAACUUAAAUGAUCAAUCUAUUACAAACCUCAAACUUAAACGACCGUUGGCGUAAUUUAGCCUUAAUUAAAUAAAUUUGACAAAACUAACAUUCUAGUUAAAGUUGAUUUGAAUAAUGGUAAGCUUAGUUUUUUUUUCAAAUAAAAAAGUGUACACAUGUUAAUUUACACCUUCUUAUUUUUAGGUAGGUGUAAAUUAACGGUCAUUUAUAAACUUAAAAACAAUGGAGGUAUACCCCUUGAGCCAUAAACACGGCUCCACCCUACUUUUAUCUAAUGGAAUAGUCUUUUAAAUUGAGCUAUUCAUGCAUGCUUAAGGGUCUGUUUAUUAUAGAUUUUAAAAAAUGUAAUAUCAAAUACAUUUGACAUAAGUUAAAACGGAGAUUUUAACAUUCACUAACUUAAAUAUUCAUUGUUAGAUAUUUUACAUAGUAAAAAUCACUUCUUCUUUUUUUAAAUGACAUGUUUCUAAAAUGAUUUUUAUGAAAAGCUAUUUAAAAUAGUUUUUUUUUCAGAUAUUUUUUCAAAAAUUAUAACACAAUGAUGAAAUACAUAUAAUUUCAUUUUAAGAUAAACUAUUCAAGUCAACCAUAACACUACUUCCAUUGUUCGUUUGAGUUUGGGAUUCUUUUUCCAUCUGCCCCUUGUGUGAAAUGUAUAUACCAAUCUGUCCCAUUUUAAAUUUUAAAUACCAAACUGUCCUAGGUUGGGUUUGCCCUUGAAGUUCGGUUGGCAUCCAUAUUUGUAUCAACCUUCUCCACCAGAGUAAGGACGAGGGAUGUCCAUUUUUCCAUAGAAGCAAGAUUUUCUUCAAAUUUUGACAAUUAUCUUCUACAUCAGAAUCAAAUUAGGUGAAGACUUUCAUAUACCAAGAAUAGUUUAUGAAAUAUUAUCCAUUAAUCUGUUUCUCUAGCUAACAACUGCACCAUGGUUUUUUAUUUAUUCUUCUUAACUGCGCAAUAUUAAUUGACGUAUUGUAUUUGUAUGCAUGUGGUAGGUGGCAACUAACAUGAAAAUCAAUUGUAUAGUAUCAUGUCUUUUUUUCCAUACCAAAAAUAGUAUACCACUAUCAUGUUAGAAGUUAGAACACGUAGAAAAAAAAUAAUAAUAUAUCCAUACAAGGAACACAUAGUUUCGGUUGACGGCAUAUUUGACCACUAUAGUCAUGCCGUCCCACAAUGAAUAACAUAUAUGUAAAAAAAAAUGUUUUAAAAUUGUUAUAUUAACUUGUUUAUUUUCAAUUGCAGUUAAAUUAAAAGUGGAGUUCCAUUGAAUUUGAGUCAUCAUUGACUUGGUCAGCCACCUCAAAACUACAGUUGCAGUGUUGGCCCACCUCUAUGUGUGAUUCAGUCCACCAUGUGUGAUUCACACUUAAGUCUAUUUUUUAAUUUUUAGUAAAAAAAAAACAAAAAAGUGAAAAAAUAUAGAUCAAAGUAUAACUUAUCAAUCCUUCAAAAAAAAAAAAAACUUAUUAAUGGAUGAUCAAUUUCAUCAACGCAAAUAAUUUGGACGAGAUGGAAAUACGUCAUCACUUUCGUUAAAGGCUCACUCCCAUUAUCUCAUACUAGUAGGCAUUAUUAUGUUCUCAUUUAUUGAGCUGGUUGAGAUAUAUGGUCACUAUUUUAUUUUAAAACAUAAUACAUGAGUUUUUAUAAUGGCAAAUCAUAUCAUAUAAAAAAGUGAGUACAAGUCUAUUCAAUCCAUUACAAAGAUAAAGAGAAAGUUAGGCAAGACAUAAUAACAUCGAAGAUAAGAAUUAUUAGGAAGAACUAGAGAAGAAUUAUAAAACUAUCCCAAAAGUUGUAGGGAAUUGAAUUCACAAGUCACAACUAGGGAUGUACAAAGGACCUAAGUCGAAUUUUGUGUGUUUUUCGCCCUAGCCUCUAUAAUAUUAAACAUGACCAAUUUUUUAAUUUUAAACUUAAACCCGACUCUUAACCUGAUAAAAUUUGGUCAGACGUUACAAAGACAACCGAUUGAUCCCAAGAAGAGCCGACAAAUAGUAGUAAUACAUAAAGUUAUUUUAUCGAAAAACAAAAUUAAUCAAAAAGUAACUCAUGGUAAUACAACUAUUAAACAAAAAUAAUCAACAAGAGACCAAACUUUUGUUACUUGACAAUAGGAAUAUAAUCUGAUCAGAAUCAACCACAUAACAAUCUGAACAAUCAAAAUAAGGGACGGAUGCAUGUGUGUUGUGGGGUGGGAUUGUGCCUACACAAAAUAUUUUAAAUUUUUAUUUUUAAGUAGAAUAAUAUAGUAAUGGUUGAUAUUUAAACAUUCUCGUGAGCUUAGAUUAGUUGGUAGAGAUAAUGUAUAAAAUAUGCAAGAUAUCCGACCACUACCAAAAAAAGUUGACAUUUAGACCAAAUAACCUACACUUAUAACACAACAUCAAAAUAAAUCAUAUAUAUAUAUAUAUAUAUAUAUAUAUAUAUAUAUAUAUAUAUAUAUAUAUAAAUACAAUAGGAACAACAAUAAUCUCAAAAUUUAAGUUCAAACUUCAACAAAUUCUUGAAAGUUUGAGAAUCAUUGGCUAAGUGUUAAACUUUUUAUUUUGCCAGAUUAAAAAUUUGACUUGUAAGAAAAUAUGAGUCAAAAAUGAUAUAACACUCUUGUCCUAAAUAAUAUUUAGGACGGGAUGAGUAACUGAGGAUAAAUACAAUAGAAAUAACAAUAAUCUCAAAAUUUUACUUUCAAACUUCAACAAAUUCGUGAAAGUUUGGGAAUCAUUGGCUAAGUGUUAGAUUAUUUUUUUUUGCCAAAUAAAAAAAUUGACUCAUAAGAAAAUAUGAGUAAAAAAUAAUAUAAUACUCUUGUCCUAAAUAAUGUUUGGGACGGGAUGUUGGUAACAUGAGAAUAAACAACUCGGACACAAUCUCUUCUUUAGUAUUGGUUUAUGUAUUUUCCCCAUCUUUUGUCAGGUUGGAUUCGAUUCAAACCCGACCAGAAGCCAAUGGAUCGGGCUCAGCUAAACAGUGGCGGAUCUUGAGUUAAAUUGUUGGGGGUGCCAAACAUAUAUGAAAUAUAUAUUAAAUGGUUUCAAGAAAUAUCAAUUAUUAAUAACCGUUUUAGUGGUAUGAAUCAAUUCAAAGUAGCAAUGGAAUAGGGGUUUGAAUCCCCUCAUAAGCUUUUUUUUUAAUACAAUAUUUAAAAUUAGAAGAUAAAAUGUAAAAAAGGAAACAUGGAUGUCUCAUACUCGUGACAUUUAGGAUUUUAUGGCACCUCCUUUCCACUUAACCAGCCGAAUUUUAAUGAUAAAAUACAACUAAUAUUGUAUAUAAGGAAAACCUGGGGGAUGCCGUGGCCCUCGCCGGUCCCUUAGAAGAUCCGCCACUGCAGCUAAAUGACUAGGUCGAGUUUUGUAUACCCUAUCCAACCCAUUGAUGGAAAGUACUAGGAGAUCCCGAUGACUUACCUGAAAAUCACUCUCGAAAAGAGAAUAUGAAAUGAUUUACUAAUUGCUCACCGUCAUAUUUAACAAUAUGAACAUCAUUUUGACACUUUGAGAUCAACUUCACCGUUGAAUGUCAAACUAGCCGAAUGCCGUUUGAAGUAAGAGCAAACUCCAAAGAAGUAAAAGGCUGAAAAAACCAAACAAGCUCGUUGUGAUUACAAUUAGACCCUAUAGCACCAAUUAACCUUUCAAUAUCUAGUAUAAACGUACACCUAAAAAUAUUUUGACGAGUUGUAAGGAGAAAUCACUUGGAUGAUGAUUGUUUAGUAUGAAUUUAUAUUUUUUUAAUGAAAUAAGUAUUGGUAUAUUUUUUGGCGACAAAAUUAGUAAUAGUAUACUUUUUUUUAAAUGAACAUGUAUUAGUUUUAGUACCCCUCAAGAAAAAAGUAUUAGUAUUAGUUUGUUUUUUUUUUAUCAAAGUUUAGUAAUUAGUAUACUAUAUUGACAAAAUAUUUUGACAAAAUUUGUAAUUAAGCCUACUAUAUAAACGAUAGGAUUGGGUUGACCGAUAUUUUGAGUUGAAUUUGGAGUCAUGGUCAUGCAUGGUUGCUGCUGCUUCCACUAUAUUUCUCACCAACUAACUAAUCUUAGUUUUAGUCCAAUUCCAUCCACACAUGCAUCUACCAACCAAGCAAGACACAAUCCUAUGGUGCCAAGCUGCAAAAUCAUAAACGCUCAAUAAUAAGUAUAAUCAAACGGCCAUAAUUAAUUUUCAACAAACCCACUUUUUAUUCAACUUGUGCAUUGUCCAUCCCCACCUACCAAACACACCAACACACAUGCAAGAGAUAACAUAUUAGAAUAAUAAUGUAGCCUCCAAAACAAACCUCUAUAUAAAGCUCAAUUACUUCCUUCUCAUCUCAGGAAAUUCACAACUCUAAUAUUAUUCCUUUAUUUCAUAAUUAUUUGAAUUUCCAUUCUCUCUAAAUUCUAGCUACCACCACUCAACAAAUUAAGCAACAUUAAUUACUAUUAGUAUCAAUAUAAGAUCAUGGAAACAAUAUCAGCAGCUAUCACAAAAAACAGUGCCAAUGAAUCAUUCUGUUUGAUUCAUGCUAAGAAUAAUAACAUGAAAGUGAAUGAAGCUGAUCCUUUGAAUUGGGGUGUGGCAGCUGAAGCAAUGAAAGGCAGUCACAUAGAUGAAGUGAAACGUAUGGUGGAGGAGUACCGGAAGCCGGUGGUCCGUCUUGGUGGCGAAACACUGACCAUUUCUCAGGUGGCUGCCAUUGCUGCACAUGACCAUGGUGUGCAGGUGGAGCUGUCAGAAUCUGCUAGGGCUGGUGUUGAGGCCAGCAGUGAUUGGGUGAUGGAGAGUAUGAACAAAGGAACAGACAGUUACGGUGUCACCACCGGAUUCGGCGCCACCUCACACCGCCGUACCAAACAAGGUGGUGCUUUGCAGAAAGAACUCAUCAGGUAAUACACUACUUUCAUUCUUUCUUUUUCCAUUUUGAUAUAAUUAUUUUCAUGGAUGUUCAGUUCAUAAGAAUGUAUUAUAGCUUUGAUUUAAUUAAAAUUAUUAACAUGACUUUAAAAUUAAAUUAUUAUGCAUUUCAUAUAUUUAAUUAACAAAUUUAAUUAAUAUAAAUUGGAUUUUAAAAAAACUUGUCCUUUAAUCUCGUCUAUUAAUUAUUUUAGGAGUACAUUUGCUAAUUGUAACUUUUAAUCUGUUAAUAAAUGUUAAAGGUGUAACUUGUCAACAUAUAUCUUUAAUAUUAAAACAAAUGGUAGGGUAUUCUAAACCACUCACUUUACUUCCGUUUUUUUUAAUAUUAAUAUAAAAGUGAAACUUGUUAAGUUACUUCUUUUAAAAAUUCUGAAAGUAUUUCAGUAACUUUUUUUAUUUGCCUAAAGAAACUUACUUUUUUAUAAGAGUGGCUUCUCAUUUAUUUUAGUCUAAUUAUAUCUUUUUUAAAUUAGAAACAUUUAAUGCGUGACUUUUUAAAAGUGUGUACAUAAAUUCAAAUAAUAAUGCUAAAAUGAAAGUAAUAGUAAUUUACAUGAUGUCAUAAUAUAGGUGUUGGUUUCUUCGAAUAUGUUGAAAGUUUUUUUUUUCUAUAAACAAAAUAUAUUUUUUAAGCAAAUGAUAAUAAUGGGAUACUCCGACCCAUUAAAAAAAAUAUUACAUAAUGCAAAUCAGGUCAGAGAAAAUAUAUAUAUAUAUAUAUAUAUCUUAAAAAGUGUAAUUUUAUUUUAUAGAGAUUAAAAACAAAAUUUUAAAUAUUUACAGAAUUAACCCUUUUUUUUUAUUACAUUGCUUUUAUAGGAGACUAAACUAGAAUGCUUAAACAGAAAGAUGAGUUACAGCAAUUGUUUUUAACUUAUAAACAAACCAAUUAUAAAAAUACUCUUGUUCAAAAAUUUAUUUAUAUAAAGAGUAAUGAUACAUAGACACUCUUAGGUGGCAAUACACUCUUUGAUACCCACACAAAAAUCUGACACGUAGUCACGUGGAUCCCGUACAAGCACACUUUCUCUUUUCUCUCAUCUUCUCUCUUCCUAAUGCAUGGGGUGUACAAGGGUGUAUGAAAAUAAUGGGUGUCUAUGUAUCAUUACUCUUAUAUAAAAUACUUGAAAUUAUAUGAUUUUUUUUAGCAAAUCCUUCUUGUUCUUGUCAGUGUCUGUUUUAUGGUUAAGAAACAACAUUAAACAAAAUUUCCUAAUACUUAUUCUACUUACUUCUUGUUUUCCAGGUUUUUGAAUGCAGGAAUAUUCGGAAAUGGAACAGAGUCAAAUCACACACUACCACACACGGCAACAAGAGCAGCCAUGCUAGUGAGAAUCAACACACUCCUCCAAGGCUAUUCAGGAAUUAGAUUUGAAAUCUUGGAAGCCAUCACUAAGCUCCUUAACAACAACGUCACUCCAUGUUUACCACUUCGCGGUACAAUCACAGCUUCAGGAGAUUUGGUCCCUCUAUCUUACAUUGCUGGUUUACUAACAGGAAGACCAAAUUCAAAAGCUCAUGGACCAUCUGGAGAAAUACUUAAUGCAAAAGAAGCUUUUAA
rnacentral:lncRNA from 1 species